GAUUCUUUGUUUUCAAAUUUUAGAUGGAAAUCAUGUUUCUGCCUGGGAUCUUUUACCUGAGAUAUAUACAUUGUUAAUUGCAUUAUUACAUGGCUUUUGGAUAAUAUUAUCUAUGCUCGUGCCUACACUUAUGAGCAUCAGUACAACCUCCUCCUUGGCUUAGCUGCUAAAAUGUAUGAAGAACCGAUUGUAGAUUCAGUGGUUGCUUUGUAUAGGGUGGACUUUUCAGGAAGAGGAGAGCUUGCAGCGCCAGUCAAAACUGGCACAAAUGCUUUCUUGAUUGAUAAAGAUAGCUGCAGAAUUCAAUGUUGCAGUUUACAUGACAAAUCAAGAAAUUAAUUUAAAAAACAUAAUGACCCUUAUAUUAAGGAGUGAAGUUUGCAGUUAAGGUCGUAGCAGGUGAGAACGGAGGCAAUAAGUGGUUCUCCCUCUGGAUGUCUCUCAGUGGCGUUUGUUCCCUAAUUUUCAUCUUCACAAGCGGCUAGGUCUUCCAUAUCUUCACCUUGGCUGACAUUAUGCCCUCAUUGCCAUCUCAGGGUGUUCUUGGAUCUGUUAGAUGUGAUUCUGCAUCAAGGAGAAGUGUCAUAGUCAUUGCACACAGGUGAUACUUUAGUUGUCACUUGUCAGUGUUAAUUAGUGGUAUUCCAAUUCAUAAUUUUUUAGUUUUGAAAUGUGUGAACUGAUUUUACAAGCUUUCUACCAUACAAGUAGCUGACAGGAUUGUGGUGAUGGAUAGAGGUCAUGUUGUUGAGGUUGGUAUAUUUUUCUAUUAUAUUUUGAAUACCUCAAAUAUUCUAAUCAGUAUUCUUUCUUGAGGUUUAUUAUCUUUCAUACAUGAGCCCCACUUUUUUUUUGUUUCAUUAACAAUGUAAAAGUUCACACACAUGUUGGGCUAAUGCUUCUCUAACAAUUCUCAUUUCUUUCUUUUUUUCUCAUUUCUCUGUCCACGUUUCUUGCAAAUUUUCACACACAUGUUGGGCUAAUACUGAAGGUUGAAAAAAAUGUUAAUAUAAUUCAAAGUGAAAUCAUCUUGAGCCAUAAGUAUGUGGUGGUUUAGAUGAGUUCUAUUUUGAACAGGUACAAAAUGUCAGGUCCUGAUGGAAGAAAUUAUUGGAUCAGCCAUGAAGCAAAUAUUGGUGGAAGUGAUGCAGAUGAUGCUUAAUCAUUCUGCCAUUCUCAAUUCAACAAAGUUGGACGGAGAAAGCCUUUCAAGUGCUUUGUCUCUCAAGUAAAUGGAAUAAUGAAAUAAAAAAACUGCUGAAAACUAUGUAUUAACCAAUACUUGGUUAGUUGAUUUUAAGUUAAUUUUUUCCUCAAAUGGAAUUUAUUCAGUUAUGAUGCCAAAAAAAAGGCUAUACAUGUGUGUUAAUUCUUUUUUUCUUUUUACUGAAUUUGAUUCCGGCUCGGUCAUGAUGAAUAUGGCAUUUGAUAGGGUUAAUGUGGAGAUAAAACUCAGUUCAUAUUGCCCUCAUAGAACUUUAUGAGUACAGUAUUGCUUCUUUAACAUUCAAUGCAUUCCUGAAACUGUUUGGAUUUCAUUUAUUGAAUGAUAUGGUUUUCUUUUUUCUUUUUCAUUAUCCUUUCUUUGCGUGACCUGAAACAUAAUUGUCAUUAACUUCUAUCAUCGCAGAAUGAAAGUCACAGGGAACUUAUCUUAAAAGAUGGUUUAUAUGCUUGGUUGACUAGAAAACAGGCAGGUGCCAUGACAUGAUUUGGGUUUCCAGUGCAGAUUAUAAAAAAUGGUGAUGUUUAGCAAAGAAGAAAGCUGCAGCAGUUCUGGUUCUAAAUGCAUGGCGUCUUCAGAAAGAUUUCACAAUAUCAGGAUUCAGGCUCUUAGGUUCAGCAGGAACAUGAAACCUGUGGUAUAUAUGUUUUAGAGGCAGGAAUAUUGUAGAAAUGUGGUUUGAUGGGAUAAAAUAAAUUGCUAUAAGAAGACAUGCAUCUGGACUCGCGCUUCUCCCUCUGCAGCAGCUUUCAUCUAAAACAAACAUAGGCUUGCUCCAUUGUAAAUGUAAUAUUGAUGUUCAACAUGGAUAUUCAAUUCAUAGUCCAGAUGGUCAUCAUGGUGGUAUGACUAUAUAGACACUGUUCAUUUAAUAAAUGUAAAUGUAAUAUUAAUGUUUAACACUUGAUUUGAAGAAAUACAACUGGCCCAUGAUUGAUGACA